AUGAGAAUGCGAACAGCACCCGAUGCUGAAAUCCAAACCCUUGGCGCCACCACGUCAUACCCUCCACUCCUCGCCGCCGGCGCCCGGGCCCUCCUACCCUCCGCCUCCGUGCCGCCAUGGCGGGAACAGCUCACCCUCCGGGGCGUCGCCGUCGCGGCGGCGCUGGGUUCGCUGCUCUGCGUGGUGAUCCACCGCCUCAACCUCACCGUCGGGGUCAUCCCGGCUCUCAACGUCGCCUCCGGCCUCCUCGCCUUCUUCCUCACCACCGGCUGGCGGGCCGCCGCCGGGAGGCUAGGGUUCGGCCGCGGGAGCCCGUUCACCAGGCAGGAGAACACCGUCAUCCAGACCUGCGCCAUUGCGUGCGGCGGCCUCGCGUUCAGCGGGUGCUCGGCAUCGUACAUCUUCGCCAUGGACAGGAAGACGUAUGAGCUCGUCGGGCCUGACUAUCCGGGUAACCGAGUGGAAGACGUCAAAGAUCCCUCGCUUGGUUGGAUGAUCGGUUUUCUGUUCCUCGUUGCUCUCCUCGGGCCAUUUGCCAUUGUCAUGCUACGAAAGGUAUUGGUGGUUGAUUACAAGCUUGCAUUUCCUGGUGGGACAGCUACAGCUCUGAUGAUUAAUAGCUUGCAUGGAGAAAAAGAAGCUGACGUUACAGGAAAGAAAGUCAGUUGCCUUGUAAAGUACAUGGGCCUUAGUUUUGGCUGGAGCUUCUUUAAGUGGUUCUUUAGUGGUGUUGGUGACUCCUGUGGUUUUGACAAUUUCCCAACAUUUGGAGUUGCAGCUUUUAAGAACACGUUUUAUUUCAACUUCAAUCCCAGUUAUGUUGGGUAUGGUCUUAUUUCUCCCCAUAUUGUUAACUGUUCAGUUUUUCUUGGAUCAGUCAUAUCAUGGGGUUUCCUUUGGCCAUUUAUCACAAAGCAAGCUGGUGACUGGUACCCAGAUAACCUUAGUAGCAGUGACUUCAGAGGCCUAUAUGGUUACAAGGUUUUUGUAGCCGUUUCCAUCAUACUUGGAGAUGGCCUCUACAACUUAGUAAAAAUCUUUGUUGUUAUUGCAAGAGGAAUUUGUAAUGUGCAAUUGACAAAAGGUGAUCAGCCUGUUCAAGCUCUUCAAGAUAACAAGAACUCUAGACAGUUAAUGGAUGACGAGCUUCAAAUUGAGAUAUUCUUCAAAGAUAGGAUACCAACAUGGUUUGCUGUUUGUGGUUACAUUGUACUUGCAGCAAUAUCCACCGUAGCUGUGCCCACCAUAUUUCCCCAGCUGAAGUGGUAUCUUGUGCUUGUCUGCUACUUACUUGCUCCGGCCAUUGCCUUCUGCAACUCCUACGGGAUGGGCCUCACAAACUUGAACCUUGCACCCACCUAUGGCAAGAUUGCCCUCUUUAUAUUUGCCUCGCUCGUCGGCAGCAGCGAUGGUGGCGUCAUUGCCGGCCUUGCAGCAUGUGGCAUAAUCAUGUCCAUUGCCUGCUCUGCGGCAGAUCUGAUGCAGGACUUCAAGUGCGGCUACCUCACCCUCUCUUCACCGCGUUCAAUGUUCAUCUUCCAGCUAACUGGCGUCGUGCUCGGAUGCGUCAUUGCUCCGCUCACACUGUGGCUCUUCUGGGCGGCCUUCGAUAUCGGCGACCCUGAUGGUGAGUACAAGGCUCCAUUCGCCAUCAUCUUCAGGGAGAUGGCCAUUCUCGGGGUCGAAGGUGUUGCCGCUCUGCCCCAGCACUGCCUCGAGAUCUGUUGCGCAUUCUUCUUGGCCGCGAUGGCCGUCAAUCUCCUGAGGGAUGUGACGCCCGCCAGUGCGUCGAGGUUCAUCCCCAUACCGAUGGCGAUGGCUGUGCCGUUCUAUAUUGGCGCUUUCUUCGGCGUGGACAUGUUGAUUGGGACGGUAAUCUUGUUCGUGUGGUAGAAGUUGAACGGGAGGGGUGCUGAUGAUUAUGCGGUGGCAGUGGCGUCCGGGCUGAUCUGCGGGGAUGGUAUAUGGAGCAUUCCAUCUGCUGUUCUGUCCAUCCUGAGAAUUGAUCCGCCGGUCUGCAUGGCCUUCAGGCCGUCCUCUGCCUUUUCCAGGUGAGAAGAUGGAUCCAAUGCUCACUCUAGGACAUGGAUUUGUGCCACUGAGUGAUGAAUCUCUGUAAUUUCAUACGUACAGAUGUGCAUCACUUUACUCAUGUACAAAGAAAAACGAACCACAACACUUUGGAGCCAUAUUGCUCCUAACCAACUGUACCAAACAUCGCGUUACACACAUCCACUGUCUUCCAUCUGUCCUUUUUUUUUUCUGAACGGUCACCGG
rnacentral:rRNA from 1 species